rnacentral:lncRNA from 1 species
AGGCUUUGGGGCUAAAGAGGUGACCUGUAGAGGCCUCUUAAAGUCGGCACAGUGGAAGAAUUGGAAUUGGGUAUCACAAGGUGACCACUUCGAGAGUGGUGCCGUUUUUACACCAUCCGGUAAUCCAAGUGCCAGCAAGCGGUUUGGUGCCGACAAAAUGAUGCCUUUCAAACCCGGUCAAAUGGUCCCCGAACUCAAAAAGUAUGCCGGACCACUCAGCUGCUCAAUCGGCCGUCCUUGCUAAAAACGCUAUUUUUAUAUGCAAGUGUCCUCCCUUUUUUACGUACAAUAUUUGAUACCCAAGCAUAGUACAUUUGGUAUCUUUUCUGAAUGAUUGUCAGUAAAUUUUCUUUUAUGCGAUUCCUCCCUAUUCUCUUCUUCUCUCCUACUAAUAGAUAAUUACAAUUUUUUCACAGGCGUAUCUGUGGAAAUCAUAAAUUUAAAACAUAAAUGUUUGUUUGAAAAUAACAAAUAAUGAAUAAUGAAAUGUGUGGUUUCAAACAAAGUAACAAUAAUAACUAUGAUUAUCAUGCUGGUUUCAUCAGUCUUUAGUUGGUGUAGGCACCAAAUCAAUCAAAUAAAUUAAUUUAAUAUAUGUAGUAUAUAUAUUCUAUUGCAGGGUUUUUUUGGAUUUAUGGAAACCUUCAAUUUUAAGUGAGUUUAGAAUUCGCUAUGUGUCACCAAUCAUUUCAUGAUAGGAAUGGAAAUUAAUGAAAUAAAAUAUUUGGUUAGAACUAAAGUUACGUAAUGAAUCAAAAAUUUUAACAAUCGCGAGACCAUUUAGUUUCUAUAAAUUUUGUAUGUCCCAACUUACAUAUUCGGGUACUUAGUCAUUUGUCAAAACACAUCAAAGUGAGAAAAGAAAGAAACAAGAAUCAUGAGAGUUCCUCAUAUAGUAAUAUUCUUAAUAAUGCAAUCGCAACGGUGAUUCCACCAGGUGUUCUUGCAUUGCAAAGAACUAAAUUGAUUUUUUAGAACAACAUUGAUAAUGGAGACAUCAAGUAUGCAUUUAAGGUGGUGUAUGAGUUAGAUUUCUUUAAGACUCUGCGAGGGUCGAGGAGCCAUCGAAGAUAUUAUUUUUACCAGUAUAAAGUCAAAUAUCUAAGCAAAAAAACUUGCAAAGCCGAGAGGACAUAGGAUUAAUAAUUCGGUAUCUAUGUUUUGAGUUGCUCCUUAGUUGACGCGUCGUAUCAGCUUAGUAAGGCCUGAACAAAUCGUAUAGAUAUUUAUAAUUUAUGGAGGCAAUAAAGUAUGCGUAACAAAAUUGAAAUUCAUAAAAGAAAAUCAACGUUUUGGUACAUUGUUAAAUUUAAGGUUAUACUUGCAUAAUAAUUGAUGUGGGUUCAAAUCCCUUUGAUAACAUAUUUUAUAUUCUUUUAAAACAAUAAGAAUUAAAAUAACCUUCAAUAAUAUAACUUAUAUUAAACAUGUAAGGAAAGUAUUUCUCAUUUCCGUAAUAGAGUCGAUGCUCGAUCGACUCGUGUCACCGAAUUUGUUAAGGACUUCAAUAAAAGCUAGUAUAGAUUGUAACAAUAAUGAAAUAUGCAUUAAAAAUCACCACAGAGGUUCAAUAUCCACUUGAAUCUCUGUACUCUUUUGGACUUUUAAAAUUUGAAUACAUAGUACUUUUAUAUUCCAAGGUCCAAGUAAUAAAUUAGAGUCCAAUUCAUAUCACAUAUUUAGAUUUAAUAGAAAUCAAUAAGCUCUCUUACCAAUUGAACUUUUAUUUUUUAAAUCAGCCAAGUGGAAGGAUUAAAAUCUUGAAAUUGAAAGGAGAGAGGUUUCAUUUGGAAAUGUUGAAGAGUAAAGGGAUUGGAGGAUAAUUAGAGAAUUUUUUUUGUAAUUUUUGAAAUUAGACGUUUAUAAUGGUCUAAAAAUGCAAGAAAACCUCAACUGUGUCUGUCCAAGAAAAAGGAAACAAAAUCCAACCAUUUUUUACGCACUUGAAACACUAGUAGCCAAGUGUGUUUUGUAAAUUUGGUAAUCUCCUGAAUCCCGAUGAACUAUAAAUAGCGACAUAAUGAUAGUGUUCCAAGCAAAUCAAGCUCGAGUUCAAGUUUUUGGUGCCGUAGCUUGUCUCUCCUAUCCCAUUAGGGUCCUGUUGCAUCCAACCAGUUGUUUCCAAGAGCUAGGCUUUGAUACUUAAAAUAAGAACCACUAUGGGUAUUUCUAGUUAUAGUUAUAGUUUCUUUCGGUUUUUAUUUGUUGUCAUAAUCCCAACCCUAGAAGAUCAUAUCACUGAGUAUGAUGAGUACUGGACGGCACGAGAAUUGGAAGCCAUUAAGAACCUGGACAAGGCCUAUCACUCCAACCCGGAGUAGGUGGUCCGCCAUUACAAUGACCACUUCUCUAGGACCAUGCUCGAGUUUUAUAUCACCAAAAGGGUGUUGGCAGAAUCGAAAAAGGGUCCCUGUGAGGUUACCAACCACUUGACAGUUGCUGGCGGUGUGAUCCUGACUGGGAAAAGAAUAGGAAGAAAUUGGCCGACUGUGCCCCUGGAUUUGCUCAAGGUACUACCGGUGGAAAGGAUGGUGAGUUUUACGUGGUCACUGACCGUAUUGAUAAUGCUGCUGACCCCAAGCCUGGAACUCUACAUCAUGCUGUAACCCAAACUGGACCACUUUGGAUCACUUUCAAAGGGUCCAUGACCAUCAAGCUGCAACAGGAGCUCAUUGUUACAAGUGAUAAGACCAUUGAUGCGAGGGGAGCCAAUGUGGAAGUUUGUAAUGGUGCUGGUAUCACUAUCCAAUUUGCGAAGAAUAUCAUUAUCCAUGGCCUUCAAACCCAUCACAUUAUUCCCGCCAAGGGUGGCAAGAUUAAGGAUGGUGAAAACCAACAUGGGUUAUGGGGUGACAGCGACGGAGAUGGGGUAUCUCUUUUCGGAGCAACCAACGUUUGGCUUGACCAUCUUUCCCUUCACCAUUGCACCGAUGGCCUUAUCGAUGUCGUUCAAGGAUCAACUGCCGUUACUGUUUCUAACUGCCACUUCACUGACCACAACGAUGUAAGCUUACUUUCCUUUCAAUUUUAAACUACGCAUGAUGAGGAAUUUUUUGUUUGACAAAAAUAAUACAAUUGAAAUGAAAAAAACUACAUGUGAUGCUGUUUGGAGCAAGCGACUCUUACAGUGCCAAGAAGAAGAUGCAGGUCACUGUUGCUUUGAACCACUUCGGUAAAGGAUUGGUAGGGAGGAUGCCUAAGUGCCGAUUUGGUUUUAUUCAUGUCGUCAACAAUGACUACAAUCACUGGUUCCUGUAUGCCAUUGGCGGCACCAGCAGCCCUACAAUUAUCAGCCAGGGAAAUAGGUAUUCAGCGCCUGGCUUUGGGGCUAAGGAGGUGACCUGUAGGGGCCUCUUAAAGCCGGCACAGUGGAAGAAUUGGAAUUGGGUAUCACAGGGUGACCACUUCGAGAACGGUGCCUUUUUUACACCAUCUGGUAAUCCAAGUGCCAGCAAGAAAUUUGGUGCCAACAAAAUGAUGCCUUUCAAACCCGGUCAAAUGGUCCCCGAACUCACAAAGUAUGCCGGACCACUAAGCUGCACAAUCGGCCGUCCUUGCUAAAAAUGCCAUAUUUAUAUGCAUGUGUCCUUCAUUUUUUACGUACAAUAUUUGAUACCCAAGCAUAGUACAAUUGGAAUCUUUUCUGAAUGAUUGUCAGUAAAUUUUCUUUUAUGCGAUUCCAACCUAUUCUCUUCUUCUCUCCUACUAAUAAAUAAUCACAAUUUUUUUCGCACGCGUAACUGUGGAAAUCAUAAAUUUAGAACAUAAAUGUUUGUUUGAAAAUAACAUAUAAUGAAUAAUGAAAUGUGUGGUUUGAAACAAAGUAACAAUAAUAACAUUGAUUAUCAUGGUGUUUUCAUCAAUCUUUAGUUGGUGUAGGCACCAAUUCAAUCAAAUACAUUAAUCUAACAUAUCUAGUAUAUAUAUUCUAUUGCAAGGUUUUUUUGGAUUUGUGGAAACCUUCAGUUUUAAGUGAGUUUAGAAUUCUCUAUGUGUCACCAAUCAUUUCAUGACAGGAACGGAAAUUAAUGAAAUAAAAUAUUUGGUUAGAACUAAAGUUGCGUAAUUAAUUAAAUAUUUUAACAAUCGCGAGACCAUUUAGUUUCUAUAAAUUUUGUAUGUCCCAACUUACAUAUUCGGGUACUUAGUCAUUUGUCAAAACACAUCAAAGUGAGAAAAGAAAGAAACAAGAAUCAUGAGCGUUCCUCAUAUAGUAAUAUUCGGAAUAAUGCAAUCACAACGGUGAUUCCACCAGGUGUUGUUGCAUCAGCAAGAACUAAAUUGAUUUUUUAGAACAACAUUUAUAAUGGAGACAUCAAGUAUGCAUUUAAGGUGGUGUAUGAGUUAGAUUUCUUUAAGACACUAUGAGGGUCGGGGAGCCAUCGAAGACAUUACUUUUACUAGUAUAAAGUCAAAUAUCGAAGCAAAAAAACUUGCAAAGCUAAGAGGACAUAGGAUUAAUAAUUUGGUAUCUAUGUUUUGAGUUCCUCCUUAGUUGACGCGUGGUAUCAGCUUUGUAAGGGCUUAAAUAAUCUUAUGGAUAUUUAUAAUUGAUGGACAUAAAAAAGUAUGUGUAACAAAAUUGAAAUUCAUAGAAGAAAAUCAAUGUUUUAGUACAGUGUUAAAUUUAUGGUUUUACUAGCAUAAUAAUUUAUGUGGGUUCAAAUCCCUUCGACAACAUAUUUUAUAUUCUUUUAAAACAAUAAGAAUUAAAAUAACCUUCAAUAAUAUAACUUAAUUUAAGCAUGAAGGGAAAGUAUUUCUAAUUUCCAUAAUAGAGUCGAUGCUUGAUCGACUCGUGUCACCGAAUUAGUUAAGGACUUCAAUAAAAGUUAGUAUAGAUUGUAACAAUAAUGAAAUAUGCAUUAAAAAUCACCACAGAGGUUCAAUGUCCCAUUGAAUUUCUGUACUCUUUUAGACUUUUAAAAUUUGAAUACAUAGUACUUUUAUAUUCAAAGGUCCAAGUGAUAAAUUAAAGUCCAAUUCAUAUCACAUAUUCAGAUUUAAGAGAAAUCAAUAAACACUCUUACCAAUUGAACUUUUAUUUUCUAAAUCAGCCAAGUGGAAGGAUUAAAAUCUUGAAAUUGAAAGGAGAGAGGUUUCAUCUGGAAAUGUUGAAGAGUAAAGGGAUUGGAGGAUAAUUAGAGAUUUUUUUUUGUAAUUUCUGAAAUUAGACGUUUAGAAUGGUCUAAAAAAUGCAAGAAAACCUCAACUGUUUCUAUCCAAAAAAAAGGAAACAAAAUCCAACCAUUUUUUACGCACUUGAAAAACUAGUAGCCAAGUGUGUUUUGUAAAUUUGGAAAUUUUCAUGAAUCCCGGUGUACUAUAAAUAGUGACAUAAUGAUGGUGUUCCAAGCAAAUCAUGCUCGAGUUCAAGUUUUUGGUGCCGUAGCUUGUCUCUCCUGUCCUAUUAGGGUCCUGUUUGCAUCCAACCAGUUGUUUCCAAGAGCUAGGCUUUGAUACUUAAAAUAAGAACCACUAUGGGUAUUUCUAGUUAUAGUUUCUUUCUAGUUUUAUUUGUUGUCAUAAUCCCAACCCUAGAAGCUCAUAUCGCUGAGUAUGACGAGUACUGGACGGCACGAGAAUUGGAAGCCAUUGAGAACCUGGACAAGGCCUAUCACUCCAACCCGGAGGAGGUGGUCCGCCAUUACAAUGACCACUUCUCUAGGACCUAUGCUCGAGUUUUAUAUCACCAAAAGGGUGUUGGCAGAAUCAAAAAAGGGUCCCUGUGAGGUUACCAACCACGUUGACAGUUGCUGGCGAUGUGAUCCUGACUGGGAAAAGAAUAGGAAGAAGUUGGCCAACUGUGCCCCUGGAUUUGCUCGAGGUACUACCGGUGGAAAGGAUGGUGAGUUUUACGUGGUCACUGACCCUAUUGAUAAUGCUGCUGACCCCAAGCCUGGAACUCUAGCGUCAUGCUGUCACCCAAACUGGACCACUUUGGAUCACUUUCAAAGGGUCCAUGACCAUCAAGCUGCAACAGGAGCUCAUUGUUACAAGUGAUAAGACCAUUGAUGCGAGGGGAGCCAAUGUGGAAAUUUGUAAUGGUGCUGGUAUCACUAUCCAAUUUGUGAAGAAUAUCAUUAUCCAUGGCCUUCAAAUCCAUCACAUUAUUCCCGCCAAGGGUGGCAAGAUCAAGGAUGGUGAAAACCACCAUGGGUUACGGGGUGACAGCGACGGAGACGGGGUGUCUAUUUUCGGAUCAACCAAUGUUUGGCUUGACCAUCUUGCCCUUCACCAUUGCGCCGAUGGCCUUAUCGAUGUCGUUCAAGGAUCAACUGCCGUUACCGUUUCUAACUGCCACUUCACUGACCAUAACGAUGUAAGCUUACUUUCCUUUCAAUUUUAAACUACGCACGAUGAGGAAUUUUUUGAUUGACAAAAAUAAUACAAUUGAAAUGAAAAAAAUUACAGGUGAUGUUGUUUGGAGCAAGCGACUCUUACAGUGCCGACAAGAAGAUGCAGGUCACUGUUGCUUUGAACCACUUCGGUAAAGGAUUGGUAGAGAGGAUGCCUAGGUGCCGAUUUGGUUUUAUUCAUGUCGUCAACAAUGACUACAAUCACUGGUUCCUGUAUGCCAUUGGCGGCACCAGCAAUCCUACAAUUAUCAGCCAGGGAAAUAGGUAUUCAGCGCCAGGCUUUGGGGCUAAAGAGGUGACCUGUAGGGGCCUCUUAAAGCCGGGACAGUGGAAGAAUUGGAAUUGGGUAUCACAAGGUGACCACUUCGAGAACGGUGCCUUUUUUACACCAUCAGGUAAUCCAAGUGCCAGCAAGCAAUUUGGCGCCGACAAAAUGAUGCCUUUCAAACCUGGUCAAAUGGUCCCCGAACUCACAAAGUAUGCCGGACCACUAAGCUGCACAAUCGGCCGUCCUUGCUAAAAACUGCUAUUUUUAUAUGCAUAUGUCCUCCCUUUUUUACGUACAAUAUUUGAUACCCAAGCAUAGUACAUUUGGUAUCUUUUCUGAAUGAUUGUCAGUAAAUUUUCUUUUAUGCGAUCCCACCCUAUUCUCUUCUUCUCUCCUAGUAAUAGAUAAUCACAAUUUUUUUCUCACGCGUAACUGUGGAAAUCAUAAAUUUAGAACAUAAAUGUUUGUUUGAAAAUAACAUAUAAUGAAUAAUGAAAUGUGUGGUUUGAAAUAAAGUAACAAUAAUAACAUUGAUUAUCAUGGUGUUUUCAUCAAUCUUUAGUUGGUGUAGGCACCAAAUCAAUCAAAUACAUUAAUCUAACAUAUCUAGUAUAUAUAUUCUAUUGCAAGGUUUUUUUGGAUUUGUGGAAACCUUCAGUUUGAAGUGAGUUUAGAAUUCGCUAUGCGUCACCAAUCAUUUCAUGACAGGAAUGGAAAUUAAUGAAAUAAAAUAUUUGGUUAGAACUAAAGUUGCGUAAUUAAUUAAAAAUUUUAACAAUCGCGAGACCAUUUAGUUUCUAUAAAUUUUGUAUGUCCCAACUUACAUAUUCCGGGUAAUUAGUCAUUUGUCAAAACACAUCAAAGUGAGAAAAGAAAGAAACAAGAAUCAUGAGUCAUUCCUCAUAUAGUAAUAUUCGUAAUAAUGCAAUCGCAACGGUGAUUCCACCAGGUGUUCUUGCAUCACCAAGAACUAAAUUGAUUUUCUAGAACAAGAUUUAUAAUGGAGACAUCAAGUAUGUAUUUAAGGUUGUGUAUGAGUUAGAUUUCUUUAAGACUCAGCGGAGGGUCGGGGAGCCGCCCAAGACAUUGCUUUUACCAGUAUAAAGUCAACUACCGAAGCAAAAAAACUUGCAAAGCUGAGAGGACAUAGGAUUAAUAAUUCAGCACCUAUGUUUUGAGUUGCUCCAUAGUUGACGCAGUGGUAUUAGCUUAGUAAGGGCUUAAAUAAUCGUAUAGAUAUUUAUAAUUGAUGGACAUAAUAAAGUAUGCUUAACAAAUUUGAAAAUCAAAAAAGAAAAUCAAUGUCUUGGUACAGUGUUAAAUUUAUGGUUUUACUAGCAUAAUAAUUGAUUUGGGUUCAAAUCCCUUCGACAACAUAUUUUAUAUUCUUUUAAAACAAUAAGAAUUAAAAUAACCUUCAAUAAUAUAACUUAUUUUAAACAUGAAAGGAAUGUAUUUCUAAUUUCCGUAAUAGAGUCGAUGCUCGAUCGACUCAUGUCACCGAAUUAGUUAAGGACUUCAAUAAAUGUUAGUAUAGAUUGUAACAAUAAUGAAAUAUGCAUUAAAAAUCACCACAGAGGUUCAAUAUACACUCGAAUCUCUGUACUCUUUUAGACUUUUAAAAUUUGAAUACAUAGUACUUUUAUAUUCAAAGGUCCAAGUAAUAAAUUAGAGUCCAAUUCAUAUCACAUAUUCAGAUUUGAGAGAAAUAAAUAAACUCUCUUACCAAUUGAACUUUUAUUUUUUAAAUCAACCAAGUGCAAGGAUUAAAAUCUUGAAAUUGAAAGGAGAGAGGUUUCAUCUGGAAAUGUUGAAGAGUAAAGGGAUUGGAGGAUAAUUAGAGAUUUUUUUUUGUAAUUUCUGAAAUUAGACGUUUAGAAUGGUCUAAAAAAUACAAGAAAACCUCAACUGUUUCUAUCCAAAAAAAGGAAACAAAAUCCAACCAUUUUUUACGCACUUGAAACACUAGUAGCCAAGUGUGUUUUGUAAAUUUGGAAAUUUUCAUGAAUCCCGGUGUACUAUAAAUAGUGACAUAAUGAUGGUGUUCCAAGCAAAUCAUGCUCGAGUUCAAGUUUUUGGUGCCGUAGCUUGUCUCUCCUGUCCUAUUAGGGUCCUGUUUGCAUCCAACCAGUUGUUUCCAAGAGCUAGGCUUUGAUACUUAAAAUAAGAACCACUAUGGGUAUUUCUAGUUAUAGUUUCUUUCUGUUUUUAUUUGUUGUCAUAAUCCCAACCCUAGAAGCUCAUAUCGCUGAGUAUGACGAGUACUGGACGGCACGAGAAUUGGAAGCCAUUGAGAACCUGGACAAGGCCUAUCACUCCAACCCGGAGGAGGUGGUCCGCCAUUACAAUGACCACUUCUCUAGGACCAUGCUCGAGUUUUAUAUCACCAAAAGGGUGUUGGCAGAAUCAAAAAAGGGUCCCUGUGAGGUUACCAACCACGUUGACAGUUGCUGGCGAUGUGAUCCUGACUGGGAAAAGAAUAGGAAGAAGUUGGCCAACUGUGCCCCUGGAUUUGCUCGAGGUACUACCGGUGGAAAGGAUGGUGAGUUUUACGUGGUCACUGACCCUAUUGAUAAUGCUGCUGACCCCAAGCCUGGAACUCUGCGUCAUGCUGUCACCCAAACUGGACCACUUUGGAUCACUUUCAAAGGGUCCAUGACCAUCAAGCUGCAACAGGAGCUCAUUGUUACAAGUGAUAAGACCAUUGAUGCGAGGGGAGCCAAUGUGGAAAUUUGUAAUGGUGCUGGUAUCACUAUCCAAUUUGUGAAGAAUAUCAUUAUCCAUGGCCUUCAAAUCCAUCACAUUAUUCCCGCCAAGGGUGGCAAGAUCAAGGAUGGUGAAAACCACCAUGGGUUACGGGGUGACAGCGACGGAGACGGGGUGUCUAUUUUUGGAUCAACCAAUGUUUGGCUUGACCAUCUUGCCCUUCACCAUUGCGCCGAUGGCCUUAUCGAUGUCGUUCAAGGAUCAACUGCCGUUACCGUUUCUAACUGCCACUUCACUGACCAUAACGAUGUAAGCUUACUUUCCUUUCAAUUUUAAACUACGCACGAUGAGGAAUUUUUUGAUUGACAAAAAUAAUACAAUUGAAAUGAAAAAAAUUACAGGUGAUGUUGUUUGGAGCAAGCGACUCUUACAGUGCCGACAAGAAGAUGCAGGUCACUGUUGCUUUGAACCACUUCGGUAAAGGAUUGGUAGAGAGGAUGCCUAGGUGCCGAUUUGGUUUUAUUCAUGUCGUCAACAAUGACUACAAUCACUGGUUCCUGUAUGCCAUUGGCGGCACCAGCAACCCUACAAUUAUCAGCCAGGGAAAUAGGUAUUCAGCGCCAGGCUUUGGGGCUAAAGAGGUGACCUGUAGGGGCCUCUUAAAGCCGGGACAGUGGAAGAAUUGGAAUUGGGUAUCACAAGGUGACCACUUCGAGAACGGUGCCUUCUUUACACCAUCAGGUAAUCCAAGUGCCAGCAAGCAAUUUGGCGCCGACAAAAUGAUGCCUUUCAAACCUGGUCAAAUGGUCCCCGAGCUCACAAAGUAUGCCGGACCACUAAGCUGCACAAUCGGCCGUCCUUGCUAAAAAUGCUAUUUUUAUAUGCAUUUGUCCUCCCUUUUUUACGUACAAUAUUUGAUACCCAAGCAUAGUACAUUUGGUAUC